UUCACUGAUUAGAUUGGUUAACUUUAGGCAUGAGGACUGAUGAGCCAAUCAGAGGCAGAGUAGGGCGGGUCAUGCCGAGGAAAAUAUCGCUAAUACCUCAGGUGCCAGUGAAAAAAAAAAAAAAAACUCAGGUGCCGGUGCCACUUGACUACGAUAACGGCAGCAGACCAAACAACGGAUGAAGAAAGGACACAAGCGGCGGUGUGCCACCCCAGUUGAUGGAAGACAUCAUUCUGAGACAUCAAUAAUGACUGGCCAGACCUGUGGAGUGCUAAACAAACAGAAGACUUCAAAUCCAAGAACCCCUGGUUGGGAUCCAAAAACAAAAAAAUUGGGAUGUCUGGUCUGUAGCAGUGUGAACUCCAUUGGGAUCGACAAGGAGCAAGGACAAGGUGUAUCGCUCUCAAGAGAAUGGAUGAACUUUGAAAUUCAAGUGUCUGGCCAGGCAAGUAGAACAACAAGUUUGUCAAUCUUGAGAAAUAAGGUGAGGAAACAUGCGUUGUCCAAGGCCCACACUCAGGCUGUGAAGGUGGCAGAGCAACAGAAAGAAGCUGCCAUUGAGAAUGCAGUGGAGACUAUGACUGAGUCCUACAUGAAGGAAACUGAAGCUGUGUUUCGAACAGCCUACCAUCUGGCCAAAAAGAACCGACCCUUUUC